rnacentral:rRNA from 1 species
UACGGAGGGAGCUAGCGUUAUUCGGAAUUACUGGGCGUAAAGCGCACGUAGGCGGCUUUGUAAGUUAGAGGUGAAAGCCUGGAGCUCAACUCCAGAACUGCCUUUAAGACUGCAUCGCUUGAAUCCAGGAGAGGUGAGUGGAAUUCCGAGUGUAGAGGUGAAAUUCGUAGAUAUUCGGAAGAACACCAGUGGCGAAGGCGGCUCACUGGACUGGUAGUUGACGCUGAGGUGCGAAAGCGUGGGGAGCAAACAGG